AAGAAAGUAAGCAAGGGCGUACGGUGGAUGCCUAGGCUUUCAGAGGCGAAGAAAGACGUGAUAAGCUGCGAUAAGCUGCGGGGAGAAGCAAAUAUUUAUUGAUCCGCAGAUUUCUGAAUGGGGCAACCCGGCUGGUUGAUGACCAGUCACCCUUCGGGGGGCAAACCCAGGGAACUGAAACAUCUAAGUACCUGGAGGAGAAGAAAACAAUAGUGAUUCCCUAAGUAGCGGCGAGCGAACGGGGAUUAGCCCAAACCAAUGUUGUUCAGGCAACGUUGGGGUUGUAGGACUGCGAUAUAGAUUUAAAAUUGAAGUGGAGCGUUUUGGAAAGAACGGCCAGAGAGUGUGACAGCCACGUACACGUAAGGUUUUAAAUUUUAGCAGUAUCCUGAGUAGCGCGGGACACGAGAAAUCCUGUGUGAAUCUGCCAGGCCCAUCUGGUAAGGCUAAAUACUCCUGAAAGACCGAUAGUGAACCAGUACCGUGAGGGAAAGGUGAAAAGUACCCCGAACAGGGGAGUGAAAUAGUACCUGAAACCGUGCGCUUACAAGCGGUCGGAGCC
rnacentral:rRNA from 1 species